rnacentral:rRNA from 1 species
AUUGAACGCUGGCGGCAUGCUUUACACAUGCAAGUCGGACGGCAGCACAGAGGAGCUUGCUUCUUGGGUGGCGAGUGGCGAACGGGUGAGUAACGCAUCGGAACGUACCGAGUAAUGGGGGAUAACUGUCCGAAAGGACAGCUAAUACCGCAUACGCCCUGAGGGGGAAAGCGGGGGAUCUUAGGACCUCGCGUUAUUCGAGCGGCCGAUGUCUGAUUAGCUGGUUGGCGGGGUAAAGGCCCACCAAGGCGACGAUCAGUAGCGGGUCUGAGAGGAUGAUCCGCCACACUGGGACUGAGACACGGCCCAGACUCCUACGGGAGGCAGCAGGGGGAAUUUUGGACAAUGGGCGCAAGCCUGAUCCAGCCAUGCCGCGUGUCUGAAGAAGGCCUUCGGGUUGUAAAGGACUUUUGUCAGGGAAGAAAAGGAACGUGUUAAUACC